rnacentral:rRNA from 1 species
GACGAACGCUGGCGGCGUGCUUAACACAUGCAAGUCGAACGGUGAACCAGGGCUUGCCCUGGGAAUCAGUGGCGAACGGGUGAGUAACACGUGGGCAACCUGCCCCAGACACCGGGAUAACUACUCGAAAGAGUCGCUAAUACCGGAUACGACCACUUCGGGCAUCCGACGGUGGUGGAAAGGAUUCUGGUCUGGGAUGGGCCCGCGGCCUAUCAGCUUGUUGGUGGGGUAAUGGCCUACCAAGGCGACGACGGGUAGCCGGCCUGAGAGGGCGACCGGCCACACUGGGACUGAGACACGGCCCAGACUCCUACGGGAGGCAGCAGUGGGGAAUAUUGCGCAAUGGGCGAAAGCCUGACGCAGCGACGCCGCGUGAGGGACGAAGGUCUUCGGAUUGUAAACCUCUUUCAGCAGGGACGAAGCGAAAGUGGCUGUACCUGCAGAAGAAGCACCGGCUAACUACGUG